AUUGAACGCUAGCGGGAUGCCUUACACAUGCAAGUCGAACGAGUGGCGAACGGGUGAGUAAUGUAUCGGAACGUGCCCAGUAGCGGGGGAUAACUACGCGAAAGCGUAGCUAAUACCUCAUACCAUCGGUUGUGCCCAGAGGGGAUUAGUUAGGAGGUGGGGUAACGGCUAACCAAGGCGACGAGCCCUAGCUGGUAUGACAGGAUGACCAGCCACACUGGAACUGAGACACGGUCCAGACGCCGACGUGAGGCAGCAGUGGGGAAUAUUGCACAAUGGGCGCAAGCCUGAUGCAGCCAUGCCGCGUGUAUGAAGAAGGCCUUCGGGUUGUAAAGUACUUUCAGCGAGGAGGCGUUACUCGCAGAAGAAGCACCGGCUAACUACGUGCCAGCAGCCGCGGUAAUAC
rnacentral:rRNA from 1 species